CCCUUCCCUUGGGUUUCCUUUCUCUCUGCAGACAUGGGCUGGAAUGACAAGGAGGGGAUGUGCCACUGCCCCACAGCCUCACUGCCACAGCUCAUGGAUCCUCAACAAGAAGAGUUUAAAAAGCACUGGAGGCCUCCUCCCCAGCCCUGAAGGUGCGCGGUGCCAGCAAGCAGAUGUGGCCACAGCCAUGGGGUUUGCACCAUCUGGGGCUCAGCAGAGAAGAUCCUUGUGAUGUUGAAGCUGCUCUAUGGACGUGAAAAGAUCUGUCUUCAUCACAGAAGAAAAGCCUUAGAUACAGAGCCAGAGAGGUAGGAUGCAUCCCCAUCCUUCUGAGCUUGAGGAACAAGGAGAGAUUACAACUCUGGCAGCACUGCUGUGAUUGCACACAGGCAGUGUCAGACAACACUCAGCUUUCCCGCUGCUGGGCCAAAGUCAAGAGAGCUUCAGAGGUCCUGGAGACACCGCUCAGCACACGAUGAGGCCAUGGCUUUAGGCAAAGUGUCUGCCCAAGUUGCAAAGGCUAAAGCACUGCUGGCCAGAAAUUACUUUUAACAAGACCUUUGUGAAUUGGGACUGCUUCACAGGAAAACAACAUUUAACUUCAUAAAAAAGGAGGCAGCCAAUAGGCUGGGAAAUAAACCUCCUAUUUCUUUUAGUGCCCACGAUCUCACACACAGGCACACCUUGCUGUACUGGCAGCGCAGUGGGAAGGAGGGAAGCUCCAUUCCAGCCCACAGCGGCCACCCAGACAGACAGCAGCCCCUUCCCACGCCUUUGUACGACGCAGGAAAUCCCCAUUCCCUUUUCAUAUAUUUUCAGGUCAUUUGAGGAAAAAAUUAUGAGUCACCUACAGCAGCCACAGCCACUUCUUAAUGUUUUCUGCUCCUCGAUACCUUCAUAACUCAGCUCGAGUUUCUCUUCUCCCCUCUCCUCCCUUGAAGAUUUAUCACGGAUGAGGAUUUUCUCGGUUUAUCCCAUUUUCAAGCACCACACUGCCCUUUAUGCAAGCAAAACGAAUUUAAGCUGUAGUGACUCUUCUUGUCCUUACCCAUUCACUGCAGCUUUUCCAAACCUAUCUACUCAGGUUGCCUCUGAUGUGGAUGUGAAGUAAGUAGAUGUAGCUGCCUUCAAUCUCUCAGAGCCCCAUAAACAAAAGCAGUGGACUUCAGAGCUUUUCCUUCUAAGAAAUUAAACUACCUGGAGAAUUUGCUUUUUCCUUCCAUGGUGACCUCCCCUGGCAGACCAGAUGCCACCCUGAGAAACUGCGAGGCACCUCUCUUCUUCCUUCCUUCCCCUCCAGAUAUCCUGCCAAACAGCAACAAGAACAGAAUUUCACAAGCACACAACAUGCGACAGAAAUGGGGAGGGGACUGCUGGCUCCUGCACACAGCUUCCCUGUCCAGAAGAGAAGCUAGCAGGACUCCCACCCAAUGGGGCUUUAAGGGCCUGGAGGGAUGCUGCCCAAAGCCCCAGAUGAGACAUCACCCAGAAGGGCAAAAGAGGUUACCAGAUCUUUCCUUUUGGCCUGGCUUGCUCAAGUAGCAAGCAAACCCAAAGGGCCUUUCUAGCCCCAGAAACCACAUAGAAGUUGUGCAGGUCAGAAGGCAGUUCUCUCCCAUUGCUACAGAUUCAAAGACCUGUUUCUGCCCUACCACAUGUUGCAAACUAAAGCUUAGAAACAGAGGAAACAAAAAUCAGUUCUUAUUUUCUCCUUGUUUUUGAGAAGACAGGGGAGACCCACUGACUUCAUGUUUCAAUAAAGUAAAUGCAUAUAGAAAACCAGUUACCUGUAAUCUUUUUUCAGGCAUGGAAGUAAACAGACAACACCUUUAGUUUUGAUGCUUUGUGUGUGACUUGGUGAUAAUCCAUCCGUAUAUCCGAAUAUGCACCACUAACUGAAGUUUCACCUUAUAUACCCAGAAACACAUCCCAAGGGAGCACAGAUCAAUACAAACAAGGUGUGUCAGAAAGCGGUAUAAAAUAAGAUUUAUUUGCAAAUCACCUUGACAAAAAGGAAACAAGUAUAUGAGAUGUGCAUGGUGGAGAUUACACACCUGUUCUUUCGUCUUCUGAGAUUUCCAUUUAUAUGAACCAUGGAAUUCUUCCAGAAUUCAAAAGGAGCUUUGAAGGUAUUCUUUUUUUGUCUUGUCCUGCUGUUCCCUCCAUUGGCACACUUACAGGAGACUCAAACGCUUUGCAACAAGAAGUAGCACACGUAAACCAAGGUUGUUCUGUUGUGUUUUAAGGAAAACUUGGACAAUAGCCUUUUCACAUUUGGUCAGGAUGGCGUUAAGCACUUCAAGAUUCCCUCCAGGAGCAGCGCUCGGUGCUGUGGUAACACAGAGAGCCCUACAGUCAAACACAUCCCACCCUGAAGGAUCACAUCUUGACUGAAACUUCACAUUCUUUCUCAUGUAAGACACAGCACAUCUGGUUAUGAUACGAGUUCUCUCUCUUGGAAGCUAAGGAGCUGUCUCGCAUGUAAAAAUGAUAGAAGUUUGGUAUUUAAUAAGAACUGCAGUGUAUAAAUGAACCUGGGAUAAAGGCAAUGCAAACAGUGAGCUUAUGUGAUUGUGGAAGGGCAACCUCUAAAUUACAGCUGCUCGUAACAGUUACAAA